CAUGCUUUACAUUCGUCCAGUGUUCUGGGCUCAAGCUAAUCCAACUCGCAUAUGUAAACAGUUGUUCUUGUUUUUCUCGCUGCUGACUCGCAUGUUGCAUGAAAAACGAAAGCGAAAAUCAAUAAAGGAAGCACGCGAUAUGAAAUUACCAACGCCCACUGACCCCCAGAUAAAAGUGGCAAUUGCCAUGGAUGGAUUGGAGGAGAUGUCGUCAACAAUGAAGGGUUCCCUGACGCCGUGUGCUUGCGUGUGUCUGUGUGUGUGUGAGUGUGUUUGUGUUUAUAAAUAUUUACACAGAGUCGCAUCGACAUCUAUUCAAGCAGUAUAAGUGACCGAGAACACGCCCCUAUUUCCCCUUUGCUUCCCACUGCUCAGAGCAGGUCCAGCUCCUUCAGUUUGAGUGCUUGUAUGUAAAAGCCGAGUAGUGCCAUGCGGUAUCCUUCUUUACCAUUGCAUCCUUUGUGCACAUAAUUUAUGCUCAUUGUUAGCCGUUAUCCGCGGCAGAGACUGCGGCAUAUUUGCUGUCAUUACGGCAUAUACUUAUAUCAUUUUUUAUUUUUAUUUGGUUUUUGUUUUUGAGGGUUGCAGCUUGUAAACGAGAAGCAACGAAUGGGUUAAGCGGCUUUAACAGCUCUGCUGCUCGACUACUUGGUUUCCAUGGACUUUGGCUUUAGAUUUCGUUGACUCGGCUCAGAGAUCUUUUGUUUUACAUGCAGAUAUGUGUGGGUAGUCGGUGUGUGCUUGUCGCUAGUUAUAAAUAUUAUAUGGCUUGCCCUGUUUGUGGCGACGCGGCAUAAAAGGCGCCGCCAGGAACUUGUCAGCUGUUUGGUAGCCAAAUUAUAAAUAUUAAUAAGCUCAUAUAAUUAGAAUUUAACACUUGUCUGACGGAAGACCCCUGAACUUGUCACCAUAUAACGUAUACGCCACGCCCUCCCUCCCGCUACAUAUGCUACUAGUAAAUAGAAAAUUUAUAUACGCAUGUUAAACUGUUACAUAACUGUCUACAUAUUUGUAUAUUCUCUAAAUGCUGCUCCAAAAUAAACCUAACAAACAUGUUCGAAUUUCGAGCUGUUCGUUUACCCUAAAUAGGUGAAGGUUACCCCACGUAAUAAUUUAAAAAUAAAUAAAAGCACAACAGCAACAACUAGCCAAGCAUAUUGAAAGCACGCUUUGGCCAAUGCUAUAAAAAAAAACAAGCAACAAAAAGAACGAGCUACAACUAAAUUAAUAAAACAUAUUCAAGGUACGAGCAAUGUGCAGUGGCAACAGCAAAAUGCUGAGGCUAGCAAAAUUCUCCAAGAGAGCAUCACAAGGCAUCGCGAGAGAGAGAGAGAGAGAGAGAGAGAGAGAGAGAGAGAGAGAGGGAAGAAAGAGAGAACAAAAGAGAGUACGAUUGAGCGCAACAUGCACAUUGUCAGCUGCAAUGGGCUGAGCGGGCGAACAUUGGAGCUGGCUAAGCUGCCUUCACGUCAUGGAAACUAAAUCAAAAGCGCACAAUUAGGCCAAACGAGUGCCUCAGCGUCAAUGCAGGGAGGCGGACAAUUGACAUGUAGCCAGCUAUGUGAGUGUGUGUGUGUGUGUUCGUGUUUGUGUGCCUGUGCUGUAUGCAAAUUUGUGUGGCAAGUUGCGGGCGAGCGCAAACUAUGUCGCUGGGUCGCUCGUCCAACCUCGUGUGUGUGUGUGUGUGUGUGUGUGUGUGUGUGGUUGUGGUUGUGAGUGUGCAUGUUGUUGUUGCUGUUGGCAGGUGCCUACCCAAGCAGCAGCAGCUCGUAAUAAAAGGUGCGUCUAUAAUUUAUCCAUAAAUAAAUCAGCAAAGCAAAAAGGCAGUCAAAUGGCAACAUCAACAAGAACAACUAAUUGAGUACGGCAUGGGGCCGAGACAAGUAAACAAGUGGAAGGACUCUUCUUUCGCUCUAAUCAUGUCUACUUGUGUGACUGCUCUCGAGAGCUGGCGCGACAGUGUGCUAUUUGUGUAAUUGGGUUCUAUUGUGGCUCUUAUUAGAGUCGACGUGAAAACCUACAGAGGAGCUAGCCCAUAAAAUUGAUCAAUUUGAAAAUGUGCUUAAUCCUGCUUUAAAGCUAAGUAUAUAAAAAUAGUCAGAAAUCGCUCACUUUUCUUUUAGGGUAAGACAGUAUUUCAUUUAAAACACGCCAUUUCACUUAUACAAAUUCGACCGAGUUCUGCUUGUCAACUGUUUGUCCUUGAUUCCAUUAUCAUAUACAAAGGCAUUGUCUAUCCUUCUACUUAUAUUUACGUCAAUAGAGUUAAUGGCAAUUAGGCUAUUAUACAAAUAAAUAUGAAUUGAUAUCUAAAAGUAAGUAUUUGAUAAUAUAUCAACUAAUUCUGGGACAAACUGGUAGCAGCUGCUCCAUUAGCUCCUUUGGCGCUCAGCUAACGCAUUAGGCACACUGCAAAAUUAGGCGGAGUAGGGCGGAGAGAGCGAGGGAAAAAAGGGUGGAUAGUGCAUCAGUGUAGAUAAAUAGCAGCUACAAAAUUAAAUUAUGAAAGAAAUUAUUUGCAGUGAAUGCAAUAAAUAUGUUGCCACAUUGAUUAGGAUUUUCCCCAGUUGUUGCAAAGCUAAAAAAAAAAAUACACUGCACAGUGCAGAGAGAAGCAUAGUUUUGUCAACACCAUUGCACAGAUACCACCGCUCCCGCCCUGUCCCUGCUGUGCCCACCCAUGCAAACUAAUACAAAACUGGAUUACUCUCCCCUUUGGGGUGACCCAACAAUACUUUACGGAGGAUUCGCAGCGUAUGCUAAAGAUACGGAAGCGCGGAACAGAACAGCCAUUUAUCGCUGGAGGCAUGUAUGCACGGCGAUCAUUAUUGGAUAUGCCCCUCAAUUAAACUUCUUUCUGCGUUGCUUAUGCUGUUACGUCAUUUCGAUAAAGGAUGACGCAUUGAAGCCGAACAAACAACAAAUGCGGUGUUCCAAAGGUAUACCAUUUAUUGGUCAUAUGCCAGGUGCAAAUAAAUCACAGAACAAUUGAUGAGUUACAAUUAAAUGUUAAAAGUCCACAAAGAAAGCAUUUGGAAAAUUCGAAUACUAAUUAAAUUGAAACCUAUCCACGACAGCUUAAAUAUGACUUCUCAAAAAGUACCUAAAUCAAAAUCCCACUCAGUAUACAUGUUUGUAUUUCGUUGUUGAUUUUAUGAAUAAUCAUCAAAAAUAUGUUCAAAUUUGAUUAUGUGCUGCCUAUCAUAAUUGAAAAGAUUUGACAACAUCCUUCCCAGCUUAUCUUUAGGUGCUGAAUAAGUUCCAUAUGGUUUUAUAUUUGCAUUUCUCAUUUGCAUUCUGUUUAGUUUAGAUGUUGUCACCUUUAAUGCAACUUAGAUUCAUUUAUUUAAACUUGAGUUGUACCAAUUUCUGGCACGGUCAGAGUGGUUCUCGACCUGCCCGCCAAAACCUGCACCGCGCGACCCGAGCUAGCUACGAAGCAGCUAUUCACACAUACACAUACACACACACACACACACACACACACUCUCACACAGAUACUCCGGCUCGGGUAAUCAGUAGAGAGUCGGAAUCGCCAGUUGGCUCUCACUGUUGCAAUUAUGCCAAAUAGGUUAACAGCCGUUUCGUGCCUUUUGCGCGAAUUUUUGGUGUGUUGCUUUGCUUGUUUACAUAAGCCUUUUCUCAUUUCGAUUUUUUUUUUUUCUUUUUUUUUUUUGUAUGUGCCUUUGCCCCACUGUGCCUACGGUUUACUGUCCGCGGCUACGUUUACCCCAGAUAUUACUAGGUGCUACAUGAAUUGCACAACGGGGCUCAGGAAGAUCGGGGAGGAUGGGUUAGCGGUUGGGCAAUGUAAAUGAAACGAAACGACAAGCAACGGGCAAUUUAAUGUCUAUUUGCAUUCGACAACAACAACUGUGGAAGCAGCAUUAGAAGCAGCAACAGCAGCAACAAAAUGUAGAAUCAAGAGUCGGAGUCGCCCGGCGAAUAAACGAGUAAAUUAACGAGUGCCAGUUGAUAUCCCGGCCUGUAGCUCAGCUUGAUAAGCUGAGAUCGCUUGCACGAAACACAUAUACAACAAGUUUCAGCUUGGGAAUCAACACCACAACAAUGCGCAGAGACGAUUCGAAUUACUGGAUAGUACUUAUCAAAUAGAUGUGGAAUGUCGGGACAAACUACAACCUGUUAAGUAUCUAAGUAAGUUUAACUAUUACACAAGGCAGUAAUAAAGUAAAUAAUUGAAUAUUGAACUUAUGCUUACAUAUACUUAGUAUGUACAUAUUUUAUGUUCACAUAAAUAUAUUCACCUU